rnacentral:rRNA from 1 species
GUAUGGGGAUCUGCCCGAUAGAGGGGGAUAACUACUGGAAACGGUGGCUAAUACCGCAUAAUGUCUACGGACCAAAGCAGGGGCUCUUCGGACCUUGCACUAUCGGAUGAGCCCAUAUGGGAUUAGCUAGUAGGUGGGGUAAAGGCUCACCUAGGCGACGAUCUCUAGCUGGUCUGAGAGGAUGAUCAGCCACACUGGGACUGAGACGCGGCCCAG